rnacentral:rRNA from 1 species
AACGUAGGACGCAAGCGUUAUCCGGAGUUACUGGGCGUAAAGCGCGGGCAGGCGGCUUCGCAAGUUCGAUGUGAAAUCUCUCAGCUCAACUGGGAGCAGCCAUUGGAAACUACGAAGCUGGAGUCUGGCAGAGGUAGGCGGAAUUCCGGGUGGAGUGGUGAAAUGCGUAGAGAUCCGGAGGAACACCAGAGGCGAAGGCGGCCUACUGGGCCAGUACUGACGCUGAGCCGCGAAAGCCAGGGGAGCGAACGGG